rnacentral:tRNA from 1 species
GGCCAGGUGUCCGAGUGGCGUUAGGUAGCGGUCUGCAAAACCGCGCACAAGGGUUCGAAUCCCUUUCUGGCCUCGA